ensembl:lncRNA
GGGGAGUUUUUACUUUUGCAAAUUAUUCAGUGUCAGAUUACACUGCCGGCUUUUAACUGUGGAAAAGAAAAAUGAAAAUUAGAUGCUUUGCUGCAUAGAUGCAGAUGGAGUUAGAACUGAGUUUGAACCAUCAUGUUGCUGCGAUCUCCAGAUCCUGCAGGUUCACUCUCUACAACAUUCGCAAGAUUCUGUCUUUUCUCUCACUACAGGCUACGCAGCUCCUCGUCCAGGCAAUGGUCAUCUCCAAACUCGACUAUUGUAACUCUCUCCUGGCUGGAGCCUCUGCAGUCACCAUAAAACCACUCCAGAUGGUCCAAAAUAUGGCAUCCCGUCUCAUCUUCAAUCAGCCAAAAUACACCCAUGUUACGCCUCUUCUCACCUCUCUCCACUGGCUCCCGGUAGCUGCUCGCAUUGAGUUCAAAUCCUUGAUGGUUGCCUACAGGGCUGUAAAUGGAACUGCACCCUCCUACAUCAAUACAAUACCUGGCUACACUCCGGCAUGCCCUCUCAUAUCUGCAAAUGAAAUGAGACUGAAAAUUCCCUCUUCACGGGGUCUCCGAUUCCAAUUAACUCUGUUCUCCUUUGUUGUCCCUGGCUGGUGGAACAACCUGCCCUCCUCCAUUCGACUAGCCGAGACUACCACCACCUCUAAGAAGCAGCAUGUCCUCCUGUGGCCUGGAGUGUUUGAGGACGAGCGACUUGCAGCUUUCUGCCUCGUCUUACCAGCGCACCGGCCUGGCACCCCACCGCGGACGACUCAACAUACAGAUGCAGCUCUGCUACACUCUGUACAGCCCCCAGUGUAUGUUACAGCGUAUUAUCCAAUCCCACCCAUGACCACCAGGUGGAGUAGAAGCACUAGAAGCACAGUAAUGGAGGCUCCCACGCAGGCCCGUAAUCAGAUAUCAGUGAUAAUGAAGAUGAAUAUGAAGAUGACAUAAGACGUUCCUCUCAGACACCAGAGAACACGUCACUCAGAUGGCUCUCUACUGCAUCCUGCAUGGCUAUACAUCCCUCCACCAGAUUGUGAAAUUCAAAAUGCCAGGAAGAAAGUAUGAACCGGUGGUGGGAUUUCUCAACAAUUACAGGAGACAAGGAGGAAACAAGGGCCCACGGCUCCCAUUCCAAACCAAGAUGUCCACAUGACCAAUACUUCACACUGGCCAAUAAUGUAAUAAUAAAAAAGGGAAGGUGCAGGGUUCCUGGAUUCA